rnacentral:rRNA from 1 species
CCCGAGACUCAGUGAAAUUGAACUCGCUGUGAAGAUGCAGUGUACCCGCGGCAAGACGGAAAGACCCCGUGAACCUUUACUAUAGCUUGACACUGAACAUUGAGCCUUGAUGUGUAGGAUAGGUGGGAGGCUUUGAAGUGUGGACGCCAGUCUGCAUGGAGCCGACCUUGAAAUACCACCCUUUAAUGUUUGAUGUUCUAACGUUGACCCGUAAUCCGGGUUGCGGACAGUGUCUGGUGGGUAGUUUGACUGGGGCGGUCUCCUCCUAAAGAGUAACGGAGGAGCACGAAGGUUGGCUAAUCCUGGUCGGACAUCAGGAGGUUAGUGCAAUGGCAUAAGCCAGCUUGACUGCGAGCGUGACGGCGCGAGCAGGUGCGAAAGCAGGUCAUAGUGAUCCGGUGGUUCUGAAUGGAAGGGCCAUCGCUCAACGGAUAAAAGGUACUCCGGGGAUAACAGGCUGAUACCGCCCAAGAGUUCAUAUCGACGGCGGUGUUUGGCACCUCGAUGUCGGCUCAUCACAUCCUGGGGCUGAAGUAGGUCCCAAGGGUAUGGCUGUUCGCCAUUUAAAGUGGUACGCGAGCUGGGUUUAGAACGUCGUGAGACAGUUCGGUCCCUAUCUGCCGUGGGCGCUGGAGAACUGAGGGGGGCUGCUCCUAGUACGAGAGGACCGGAGUGGACGCAUCACUGGUGUUCGGGUUGUCAUGCCAAUGGCACUGCCCGGUAGCUAAAUGCGGAAGAGAUAAGUGCUGAAAGCAUCUAAGCACGAAACUUGCCCCGAGAUGAGUUCUCCCUGACUCCUUGAGAGUCCUGAAGGAACGUUGAAGACGACGACGUUGAUAGGCCGGGUGUGUAAGCGCAGCGAUGCGUUGAGCUAACCGGUACUAAUGAACCGUGAGG